GGGGCUGGAAGGUUUCGACCGGGUGAAAAGCCGAUGUGCACAACCCGGAACCGGGGUUCGAUUCCCCGCAGCUCCACCA
rnacentral:tRNA from 1 species